rnacentral:rRNA from 1 species
UUGUCGGCAAUGGGCGAAAGCCUGACCGCGCGACGCCGCGUGGAGGAAGACGGCCUUCGGGUUGUAAACUUCUUUUAUGAGGGACGAUUAUGACGGUACCUCAUGAAUAAGGGCCUGCUAACUACGUGCCAGCAGCAGCGGUAAUACGUAGGGCCCGAGCGUUAUCCGGAAUUAUUGGGCGUAAAGUGCGCGUAGGCGUUUUGAUAAGUCGGUCGUUAAAUCUCAUGGCUUAACCAUGAGGCCGCGAGCGAUACUAUCAGAAUUGAGUUAUACAGGGGCAAGCAGAAUUUCUGGAGUAGGGGUGAAAUCCGUUGAUACCAGAAGGAAUACCAAUGGCGAAGGCAGCUUGCUGGGUAUGACUGACGCUGAGAGCGCGAA